rnacentral:precursor_RNA from 15 species
CUCUCGCCUCACCCUGUGGCCGGGACCCGUUUCAAGUAAUCCAGGAUAGGCUGUUUUCUCUUCAGCCUGUUCUCCAUUACUUGGUUCGGGGGCCGGUACCUAGCAUCGCUUGGGGUG